GAUGAACGCUGGCGGCGUGGAUAAGGCAUGCAAGUCGUACGGGUUUAGACCCGUGGCAGACGGGGUAGUAACAGGUAGGAAUAUACCUAGAAGUCAGGAAUAACUUAUCGAAAGAUGGGCUAAUACUUGAUAGUCCCUUCGGGGUAAAGAUUUAUUGCUUCUAGAGUAGCCUGCUUCGUAUCAGCUUGUUGGUGAGGUAAUAGCUCACCAAGGCUAUGACGCGUAGGGGAGCUGAGAGGCUGACCCCCACCAUUGGUACUGCGACACUGACCAAACACCUACGGGUGGCUGCAGUCGAGAAUCUUCCGCAAUGGCCGAAAGGCUGACGGAGCGACGCCGCGUGAUUGAUGAAGUCUUUAGGGAUGUAAAAAUCUUUUCUCAAGGAGGAAGUUUAUUGACGUUACUUGAGGAAUAAGGAGUUGCUAAACUCG
rnacentral:rRNA from 1 species